rnacentral:lncRNA from 10 species
UAUAGGCAUAAGCCACCACACCUGGCCUUAAUUUUAAAUCCUUUAACAAAUCUCUCCCUACCUUCCCAUCUCCCAUACCCCUGCUAAUCUCUAGUAUCCUUCGUUCUACAUUUUACUUCUAUGAGAUCAACUUUUUUUUUUUUUUUUUUUGAGACAAAGUCUCACUCUUGUCCCCCUGGCUGGAGUACAAUGGCGCAAUCUUGGCUCACUGCAACCUCCGCCUCCUGGGUUCAAGCAAUUCUCCUGCCUCAGCCUCUUGAGUAGCUGGGAUUACAGGCACCCACCACCACAUCCAGCUAAUUUUCGUGUUUUUAGUAGAGACAGGGUUUCACCAUGUUGGCCAGGCUGGUCUCGAACUCCUGACCUCAGGUGUUCUACCCACCUCGGCCUCCCAAAGUGCUGGGAUUACAGGCGUGAGCCACCAUGCCUGGCAAGAUCAACUUUUUUUAGUUUCCACAUGAGUGAGAACAUGUGGUGUUUAACUUUCUGUUCCUGGCUUAUUUCACUUAACAUAGUGUCUUCCAGUUCCAUUCAUGUUACUGCAAAUGACAUGAUGUCAUCUUUUUUAUGACUGAAUAGUAGCCCAUUGUGUAUAUAUACACACCACAUUUUCCAUUUUUUUUCUUUUUGAGACAGGGUCUUGCUCUGUUGCUCAGGUUGGAGUGCAGUGGUGCUAUCAUGGCUCACUGCAUGGCUCAUUGCAGCCUCAAUCUCCUGGGCUCAAGUGAUCCUCCCACCUCAGCCUCCCAAGGAACUGGGACUACAGGCACACACUACUGUACUUAGCUAAUUUUUUAAAUUUUUCAUAGAGAUGGAAUCUUUCUAUGUUGCCCAGGCUGGUUUUGAACUCCUUGGCUCAAGCAAUUCUCCUGCUUCAGCUUCCCAAAGUGCUGGGAUUGCAAGUGUGAGUCACUGUGUCCAGCCUAAAUUUUAUUUACCCAUUUAUCUGUUGUUGGACACCUAGGAUGAUUUCAUAUCUUAGCUAUUGUGAAUAGUGCUGCAAUAAACAUGGGGAUGCAGAUGACUCUUUGGAAAAAAAAAUAGCUGUGCUUUCUAUUGGUGACAAACCCAUAGAUAUUGCUAGUACUAUUGUGGUGUACAGUUUACAUUUGUUAUUGAAAGAAAUGCUAAAUUUCAGUUAGUGUUUAGUAAAAGUAUACAUAUUUUCCCCUGUCCAAGUUCAUAGACUUCUUGAAUUUUAUCCAUGGUUCUCUAUGGGACAGUGGAAUCCCAGGUAAAAAGGACUGAAGUGGAGGGAGAAAGUGGAGGAAGUCAAAGAACUGAUAAACCAAAUUGUAUGGACAUUGACAUGUAAAUAUUAGAAAUAGAUAUUACAGAAUAGAGCCAUGAACCUGGUCCCAAACUCUUCAAAAUUAAUAAGGGGCAGUAACCACAAAGUAAGAAAAUGAUAGCCUCGAAGUAAGACAAAAGGUGACAGGCCAAGUGGCCAUGAACAUGAAAAGAUCAGGGGGUUUUACAUAAAGAUGGAGGAGUAAUUGUUAAGAAGUGGCAGUAGGGAGGCCGGACACGGUGGCUCACGCCUGUAAUCCCAGCACUUUGGGAGGCUGAGGCGGGCAGAUCACUUGAGGCCAGGAGUUCAACACUAGCCUGGCCAACAUGGUGAAACCUUGUCUCUACUAAAAGUAUAUAAAUUAGGCUGGGCAUGGUGUCUCACGCCUGUAAUUGCAGCACUUUGGGAGGCAGAGGCAGGUGGAUCGCUUGAGGUCAGGAGUUCAAGACCAGCCUAGCCAACAUGGUGAAACCCCAUUUCUACUAAAAAUACAAAAAUUAGCUGGGCGUGGUGGCACACGCCUGUAAUCCCAGCUACUUGGGAUGCUAAGGCAGAGAAUCGCUUGAACCUGGGAGGUGGAGGCUGCAGUGAGCCGAGAGCGUUCCACUGCACUCCAGCCUGGGCAACAGGGCAAGACUCCAUCUCAAAAAAAUAAAAUAAAAUAAAAAAUAAAUAAAAAUACAUACAUUGGCUGGGUGUGGUGACAUGCAUCUGUAAUCCCAGCUACUAGGGAGGCUGAGGCAUAAGAAUCGCUUGAACCUGGGAGCCGGACGUUGCAGUGAGCCGAGAUUGUGACACUGCCCUCCAGCCUGGGUGACAGAGUGAGACUCUGUCUCAAAAAAAAAAAAAAAAAAGUGGCAGUACGGAGCAAGGAAGAUACUAACCUUAACUUCAUACCUGAGGGAGGAAGCAAGCUGCAGCAAGAGAAAGCAGUACCCUAAGGAAGGAAGAAUCAGAUUUUAAUUAGGGCAAGGACGUGGAAGAAAUGCAUGCACCCAAAAAAAAUGGUGGAGGAUAUAGGGGUAGUUUCUUAUCCCUGUAGACUGUGCAAUGGAAGGAUUGAGAGAGAGAGGGCCAUGUUGGGGGGUAGUGUAGACUAGAAUGGCUGCAAAUGGAUAUGAGAGGAUAGAUUACCAGAGAGGUUUAAUUUUUUAAUGGUAAUAUAAACCCACUAGCUAGAGAUUAUUCUACUGUCCAGAGAUAACCAGUGUACCAUUAAACAUUUGGACUAUUUAUUGCUAUAAACUUUGUCAUCAGGAUAAAAUUAAAGGCAACCUAAAUUUCUAAAAUUGAUUAAAUAACCGUUUAAUAUCUACAAAAAUAAAAUGCAGCCAGGCGCAGUGGCUCACACCUGUAAUUGUAGCACUUUGGGAGGCCAAGGCAGGUGGAUCACUUGAGGUCAGGAGUUCGAGACCAGUCUGGCCAACAUGGUGAAACCCCAUUUCUACUAAAAAUACAAAAAUUAGCUGGGCGUGGUAGUGCGCACUGCAGCCUGGGCAACCAAGUGAGACUCUGUCUCAAAAAAAAAAAAUUAAAAAAUAAUCCAGGCACAGUGGCUCAUGCCUGUAAUCCCAGCACUUUGGGAGGCCAAGGUAGGCAGAUCUCAAGGUCAAAAGAUUGAGACUAUCCUGGCCAACAUAGUGAAACCCUGUCUCUACCAAAAAUACAAAAAUUAGCUGGGCAUAGUGGCGCGUGCCUGUAGUCCCAGCUACUCGGGAAGCUGAGACAGGAGAAGAAUGAGUAGAAUUUUUAAUAAUGUUGAAAAUUGUCAUGAUAGAAAUUAAAUGAGCUGGGUGUGGUGGCCCUCGCCUGUAGUCCGAUUUAUUGGGGAGGUUGAAGCCAAGAAUUGCUUGAACACUGGAGUUCGAGGCCAGCCUGGGUUACAUAGCAAGAUCCUGUGUCUAAAAUAAAUAAAUAUUUUUUAAAAAAGAAUAUUAAAUGAAAGGAAUCAGGAUGACAAACUGUAUAUAAUUCAAAUUUUAUUAAAAUUUAUAUCUGCAUAGAAUAAUACAUCAAAAAUUGUAUAACAGUUACCUCUGAGUGGUGGGAUUAUAGGUUAUUUUAAUCUUCAUAUCUUCCUUAUUUUUACAUUUCAUAUCUUUUAUAUAUCUUUUUAUAAUUUUUGUAGGUUAAAAAAUAGAGCCUUUAGGAAAUUAGAUACAGUCAAACACCUCAAAACCUCAUGUCUAAAAAUUGAAAGUGUAUACUUUACUUACUCUAGAGGUAUGUGUUCUCCAGAAUAAUUUUUUAUUGAAGUUAAAAUUUGAUAAAUAAUUUAAAUACCAAGAAAAUGGUUAACAGAAAACUGUGUAGGACACAGUUUCUCUUAUUUGGAUUUCACUGGAUCUCUCAAGCUUAAUAGGUUGUAUUUAUUCUUUAUUUUUGAGACAGGGUCUUGCUCUGUUGCCCAGGCUAGGAUGCAGUGGCACACACACAGCUCACUGCAGCGUUGACCUCCUGGACUUCUCGCGCCUCAGCCUCCCAAGUAGCUGGGACCACAGACUUGUGUUACCAUGCUUGGCUAAUUUUUAAAAUUUUCAUAGAGACGGGUCUCACAUUGUGUUGCCCAGGCUGGCCUUGAAUUCCUAUGCUCAAGUGAGCCUCCCACCUUGGCCUCCCCAAGUGCUGGCAUUAUAGACAUGAGCCACCAUGCCUGGCUAGUUGUAUUUAUUCUAUAUUAAAUAGAAUGGUCAAAUAAAUUUAAGUUUCUAUUAUAUGAAUCAUCCAUUAACCAUAAAUCUACAAAGAACAUUAACUUAGUUUUUGAGUAUAUUGUACUUCCUGAAAUAUGACUGUUUAGUAAGAUAGGCAAUAAUACAAUGGACAAGACUGACAUCACUAGUUGAUAGAAGUGUUUAAUGUGUACAGUUGACCCUGUAUCUUUUUUUUUUGACGGAGUUUUGCUCUUGUUGCCCAGGUUGGAGAGCAGUGGUGUGAUCUGGGCUCACUGCAACCUUUGCCUCUCGGAUUCAAGCGAUUCUUCUGCCUCAGCCUCUGGAGUAGCUUGGAUUACAAGCGUGCACCACCAUGCCCAGCAAAUUGUUUUGUAUUAUUAGUAGAGAUGGGGUUUUACCAUGUUGGCCAGGCUGGUCUCAAGCUUCUGACCUCAGGUGAUCCACCCGCCUUGGCCUCCCAAAGUGCUGGGAUUACAGGCGUGAGCCACUGCACCGGGCCAACCCUCUAUAUCUGUGGGUUUCAUGUCCAUGGAUUCAACUAACUGCAA